rnacentral:tRNA from 1 species
GAGGAUGUAGCUCAGUGGGAUAGAGCGCCUGUCUUCGAAAUAGGAAGUCACAGGUUCAAAUCCUGUCAUCCUCG